rnacentral:rRNA from 2 species
AGAGUUUGAUCCUGGCUCAGGACGAACGCUGGCGGCGUGCUUAACACAUGCAAGUCGAACGGAAAGGCUUCUUUCUUUUUUGAUUGGAGUGCUCGAGUGGCGAACGGGUGAGUAAUACGUGGGUAACCUGCCCUCAACUGUGGGAUAAGCUUGGGAAACUGGGUCUAAUACUGCAUAUUCUUCUGUCCUCGCAUGGGGGUGGUUGGAAAGUUUUUUCGGUUGGGGAUGGGCUCGCGGCCUAUCAGUUUGUUGGUGGGGUGAUGGCCUACCAAGGCGUUGACGGGUAGCCGGCCUGAGAGGGUGGUCGGCCACAUUGGGACUGAGAUACGGCCCAGACUCCUACGGGAGGCAGCAGUGGGGGAUAUUGCACAAUGGGCGGAAGCUUGAUGCAGCGACGCCGCGUGGGGGAUGAAGGCUUUCGGGUUGUAAACUUCUUUUGGUGCAGAACAAGGCUCGCACUUGGGGUGGGUUGAGGGUAUGUGCUGAAUAAGCGCCGGCUAACUACGUGCCAGCAGCCGCGGUAAUACGUAGGGCGCGAGCGUUGUCCGGAAUUAUUGGGCGUAAAGGGCUUGUAGGCGGCUUGUUGCGCCUGCUGUGAAAACGCGGGGCUUAACUUCGCGCGUGCAGUGGGUACGGGCAGGCUUGAGUGUGGUAGGGGUGACUGGAAUUCCAGGUGUAGCGGUGGAAUGCGCAGAUAUCUGGAGGAAUACCGAUGGCGAAGGCAGGUCACUGGGCCAUUACUGACGCUGAGGAGCGAAAGCGUGGGUAGCGAACAGGAUUAGAUACCCUGGUAGUCCAUGCUGUAAACGUUGGGAACUAGGUGUGGGGUCCUUUUCCGGGGUUCUGCGCCGUAGCUAACGCUUUAAGUUCCCCGCCUGGGGAGUACGGCCGCAAGGCUAAAACUCAAAGGAAUUGACGGGGGCCCGCACAAGCGGCGGAGCAUGCGGAUUAAUUCGAUGCAACGCGAAGAACCUUACCAAGGCUUGACAUACAUUGCGAUAUUCCAGAGAUGGGGUAGCUUUUUGGUGGUGUACAGGUGGUGCAUGGUUGUCGUCAGCUCGUGUCGUGAGAUGUUGGGUUAAGUCCCGCAACGAGCGCAACCCUUGUCUUGUGUUGCCAGCGGUUUUGGCCGGGGACUCACGGGAGACUGCCGGGGUUAACUCGGAGGAAGGUGGGGAUGACGUCAAAUCAUCAUGCCCCUUAUGUCUUGGGCUUCACGCAUGCUACAAUGGCCGGUACAGUGGGUUGCGAUACUGUGAGGUGGAGCGAAUCUCUGAAAGCCGGUCUCAGUUCGGAUCGGGGUCUGCAACUCGACCUCGUGAAGUGGGAGUCGCUAGUAAUCGCGGAUCAGCAUUGCCGCGGUGAAUACGUUCCCGGGCCUUGUACACACCGCCCGUCACGUCACGAAAGUUGGCGACACCCGAAGCUCGUGGCCUAACCAUUUUUUGGGGGGAGCGGUCGAAGGUGGGGUUGGCGAUUGGGACGAAGUCGUAACAAGGUAGCCGUACCGGAAGGUGCGGCUGGAUCACCU